rnacentral:rRNA from 1 species
AACGAACGCUGGCGGCAUGCCUAACACAUGCAAGUCGAACGAGACCUUCGGGUCUAGUGGCGCACGGGUGCGUAACGCGUGGGAACCUGCCCUUAGGUUCGGAAUAACUCCCCGAAAGGGGUGCUAAUACCGGAUAAUGUCUUCGGACCAAAGAUUUAUCGCCUUUGGAUGGGCCCGCGUUGGAUUAGCUAGUUGGUAGGGUAAAAGCCUACCAAGGCGACGAUCCAUAGCUGCUCUGAGAGGAUGAUCAGCCACACUGGGACUGAGACACGGCCCAGACUCCUACGGGAGACAGCAGUGGGGAAUAUUGGACAAUGGGCGAAAGCCUGAUCCAGCAAUGCCGCGUGAGUGAUGAAGGCCUUAGGGUUGUAAAGCUCUUUUACCCGGGAUGAUAAUGACAGUACCGGGAGAAUAAGCUCCGGCUAACUCCGUG